GCCCCAUCCAGUAAGGUGUUUAUGACACUCGGCUUGUAAUCGAGUGGUCUCGGGUUCGAAUCCCGAAUAAGGCA
rnacentral:tRNA from 1 species